rnacentral:RNase_P_RNA from 1 species
CGAGUGGGCGGGGCGAUCGCUGGUGGUACGAGUUACCACUGGAGGAAAGUCCGGGCUCCGUAGGACAGGAUGGUCGAUAACGUCGACCGGCCGCGAGGCUAGGGAAAGUGCAACAGAGAGCAAACCGCCGAACGGUGGUUCGCCGAUUCGAAAGAGUCGUCGAACCAUGCGUGGUAAGGGUGAAACGGUGCGGUAAGAGCGCACCAGCGGUCGAGGUGACUCGAUCGGCUUGGUAAACCCCAUCCGGAGCUAGACCAAACAGAAUGAAGCGGCGGUCCGUCGCGUCCCAUCAUUCGGGUAGGUCGCAAAUGAGGCGGCGAGCAAUCGUCGUGCACAGAUAAAUGAUCGUCGACGACGGCAACAGCCGCCGUCACAGAACCCGGCUUACAAGCCCACUCGCUUU